rnacentral:lncRNA from 10 species
GAGGUGGGCAAGUUAGUUGCUCCAAAAACAAGAUAAAAUGAUUGAGUUCUUUUCUCAAGCGGGAGUCGGAGUUUAUCUGCUCUGAGAGCCCCAGCAGCUACUAUUAAUGAGUGUCUGGAAUAUGUUCCUGGCAUUUCACCUACCCUCUCUCCAAUCCUUCCAAGAAACUCACAAAGCAGGGCUUUUUCUUGAACUUCUCUUCCUCACAACAGUUAAAUCAUCCAUUUAAAGAUGUCAAACAACCUCCGUGUUCUAAGAUGCUGGACCCCUGAAUAUGGAGGGCCAACUACACUAGAAACACACACGCUAGCUGAGAAAGAUGGUGGCUUAAGGCCAAGGGCCUCUGCUAGCACCCAUGAGAACUUUGUGUUCUUGAGAAUAAGACACCUUUGCUCCAGGGCUUAGUGAGCAGGGCCUGAACUGGAGUUCCCUCCCACCACCUUAACUGAACUCUUCAUGCAGGACACAGCAUGUACAACCUCACAUAGAGUUCCUGACCAGACAAGACUUGCUGGAAAUUUCCCAGGAUCUUCCUUCCUUAAGCAUCCAUCAUGGGAAGCCACCUUGCCCUAGGGAGAGCUCCUGACCUAGGGUCAGGAAUAUAUUAAGGAAGACAGCAAUUAAUACAUUCAAAAAUAAUAAUAAUUACAAAUUAUGUCUCUGUGUUAGGAAAACUUGGAUAAGCAGGUCCAUAGAAAUUCCUCUGCUAGCCCUGUCUCCUGGAAUUUCUACAUAAUGGCAUAUCCUCAG